UACGUAGGGUGCGAGCGUUGUCCGGAAUUAUUGGGCAUAAAGAGCUCGUAGGCGGUGUGUCACGUCGGCCGUGAAAACCUGCAGCUUAACUGUGGGCGUGCGGUCGAUACGGGCAUCACUGGAGUUCGGCAGGGGAGACUGGAAUUCCUGGUGUAGCGGUGAAAUGCGCAGAUAUCAGGAGGAACACCGGUGGCGAAGGCGGGUCUCUGGGCCGAUACUGACGCUGAGACGCGAAAGCGUGGGGAGCAAACAGG
rnacentral:rRNA from 1 species